rnacentral:rRNA from 1 species
UACGUACGAGGCGAGCGUUAUCCGGAAUUACUGGGCGUAAAGCGCGCGCAGGUGGCUUGCUAAGUCGGACGUGAAAUCUCCCGGCCUAACUGGGAGGGGUCGUCCGAGACUGGCCGGCUUGAGGCUGGCAGAGGUAGGUGGAAUUCCUGGUGUAGUGGUGAAAUGCGUAGAGAUCAGGAGGAACACCGGUGGCGAAGGCGGCCUACUGGGCCAGCACUGACACUGAGGCGCGAAAGCUCGGGGAGCGAACGGG